AUGGAAUGGAAUGGAAUGGAUUGGAAUGGAAUGCAAUGGAAUGGAAUGGAAUGGAAUGGAAUCAUUCCGAGUGGAAUGGAAGUGAAUGUAAUCGAGUGGAAUGGAAAGGAAUGGAAUCAACACCAGCGCAAUGGAAUGGAAUGGAAUGGAAUGGAAUGGAAUGGAAUGGAAUGGAAUUGAAUGGAAUGGAAUGGAAUGGAAUGGUACGGAAUAGAAUGGAAUGGAACGAAAUGGAAUGGAAUGUAUUAAACCCGAUUGGAAUGGAAUGGAAUGGAAUGGAAUUGUGUGGAAUUGAAUAGAAUGGAAUGGAGUGUAAAGGAAUUGAAUAGAAUCAACCCGAAUGGAAU
rnacentral:lncRNA from 1 species